rnacentral:rRNA from 1 species
CACGUAGGGGGCAAGCGUUGUCCGGAUUUAUUGGGCGUAAAGAGCUCGUAGGCGGUCUGUCGCGUCGGGAGUGAAAACUCAGGGCUUAACCCUGAGCCUGCUUCCGAUACGGGCAGACUAGAGGUAUGCAGGGGAGAACGGAAUUCCUGGUGUAGCGGUGAAAUGCGCAGAUAUCAGGAGGAACACCGGUGGCGAAGGCGGUUCUCUGGGCAUUACCUGACGCUGAGGAGCGAAAGUGUGGGGAGCGAACAGG